UAUGUAUUUUUCUUUUCUUUUCCACAUAAGAAGGGAACAGUUUUUGAUUUUUUCUCUUCAGUUAACAAGUAUGUUUGACCAAUGAUGUAUGCAAACGAUUAAUGUGAUGAAUCGAACACUCGUAUAGUUAUAUACACUACCAGGACAAACACUUUAGCCGACGAAAACUUUUCGUCGGCCUGUCAGCUUAAUUCGUCGGCUAAGAUCUUAACCGACGACCUUUCGUCGGCUAAGAUUUCGUCGGGAAAAAGCUCGUCUGUGGUGACUUUAGCCGACGACACACGUAUAAGUCGUCGGCUAAAGUCCGGACUAUAGCCGACGUACUUUUUUUGUCGUCGGUUAUCUUCCAAAACUUUAGCCGACGAAUAUUUUAAAAUAUUCGUCGGCUAAAGUUUGUAAUAAAAAAAUAAAAAAAGAUCUAUGGCCGACGAAAUAUAGUAUAUUUCGUCAGCUUUAUAGGUAUUUAGCCGACGAAUUAGAGCAUAUUUCGUCGGCUAAAAGUUAUUUUAAAAAAAAUAAAAAAACUUUAGCCGACGAAUUAAAGCUUUUUUCGUCGGCUAUAAGUCCUUUCCAGUAAAAAAAAAAAACCCCGAAAUUUCUGAAUUACCAUUCCAAGCAAGCUGCAAAAUAUACCAAAACAAUUCCAUAUUCCAUAUAACCAACAAGCACAUAAAAGUAUAUAAUUCAUCAACUACAUAAAAUCUAAAUCGUCUAAAUUAAUAUCCGCUUCUGGGGGUUGCUGCGGAGGUUGCUGCGGAGGUUGCGGCGGAGGUUGCGGCGGCUGGGGUAGCGGCAUGGGCGGAGGCAUGGGCGGAGGUGGAAGUCCCUGAAGCUGGGCAGCUGUAAAGUCCUGCAUGUACUGGAACAUCUGCUGCUGCUGGGCCUGCUGGAUGGCAUGUAUCUCGGCAACAUAGGCUGCCUGCGCAGCAUUAUAGGCUGCCUGCGAGGCAUUAUAGGCUGCCUGCGAGGCAUUAUAGGCUUCCUGAGCAGCUUGCUGUUCUCGUAGUCUCUGAACUUCCGACUCUAGCUGAGUCGUCCUGGUGAUCGUGGACGUGGUCCUGCUGCUGGUCGAUGCUGUCCUUUCUUUGAAAUCCUGGAGUGGUCUUCAGGACCC
rnacentral:lncRNA from 1 species